GGAGCUGAAGCCAGUCGCAGAUACCAGCUGGCUGCAACUGUUUAUUAAAAACACAGCACUGUGCAAACACGAAAGUGGACGUAUACGGUGUGACGCCUGCCCGGUGCUGGAAGGUUAAUUGAUGGGGUUAUCCGUAAGGAGAAGCUCUUGAUCGAAGCCCCAGUAAACGGCGGCCGUAACUAUAACGGUCCUAAGGUAGCGAAAUUCCUUGUCGGGUAAGUUCCGACCUGCACGAAUGGCGUAAUGAUGGCCAGGCUGUCUCCACCCGAGACUCAGUGAAAUUGAACUCGCUGUGAAGAUGCAGUGUACCCGCGGCAAGACGGAAAGACCCCGUGAACCUUUACUAUAGCUUGACACUGAACAUUGAGCCUUGAUGUGUAGGAUAGGUGGGAGGCUUUGAAGUGUGGACGCCAGUCUGCAUGGAGCCAACCUUGAAAUACCACCCUUUAAUGUUUGAUGUUCUAACGUUGCCCCGUUAUCCGGGGUGCGGACAGUGUCUGGUGGGUAGUUUGACUGGGGCGGUCUCCUCCCAAAGAGUAACGGAGGAGCACGAAGGUUGGCUAAGCAUGGUCGGACAUCAUGCGGUUAGUGCAAAGGCAUAAGCCAGCU
rnacentral:rRNA from 1 species